rnacentral:rRNA from 1 species
UACAGAGGGGGCAAGCGUUGUUCGGAAUUACUGGGCGUAAAGGGCGCGUAGGCGGCCUUCUAAGUCGAACGUGAAAUCCCCGGGCUCAACCCGGGAACUGCGUCCGAUACUGGAAGGCUUGAAUCCGGGAGAGGGAUGCGGAAUUCCAGGUGUAGCGGUGAAAUGCGUAGAUAUCUGGAGGAACACCGGUGGCGAAGGCGGCAUCCUGGACCAAUUCUGACGCUGAUGCGCGAAAGCCAGGGGAGCAAACGGG